CUGGCGGCAGGCCUAACACAUGCAAGUCGAACGGUAACAGGAAGAAGCUUGCUUCUUUGCUGACGAGUGGCGGACGGGUGAGUAAUGUCUGGGAAACUGCCUGAUGGAGGGGGAUAACUACUGGAAACGGUAGCUAAUACCGCAUAACGUCGCAAGACCAAAGAGGGGGACCUUCGGGCCUCUUGCCAUCGGAUGUGCCCAGAUGGGAUUAGCUUGUUGGUGGGGUAACGGCUCACCAAGGCGACGAUCCCUAGCUGGUCUGAGAGGAUGACCAGCCACACUGGAACUGAGACACGGUCCAGACUCCUACGGGAGGCAGCAGUGGGGAAUAUUGCACAAUGGGCGCAAGCCUGAUGCAGCCAUGCCGCGUGUAUGAAGAAGGCCUUCGGGUUGUAAAGUACUUUCAGCGGGGAGGAAGGGAGUAAAGUUAAUACCUUUGCUCAUUGACGUUACCCGCAGAAGAAGCACCGGCUAACUCCGUGCCAGCAGCCGCGGUAAUACAGAGGGUGCAAGCGUUAAUCGGAAUUACUGGGCGUAAAGCGCACGCAGGCGGUUUGUUAAGUCAGAUGUGAAAUCCCCGGGCUCAACCUGGGAACUGCAUCUGAUACUGGCAAGCUUGAGUCUCGUAGAGGGGGGUAGAAUUCCAGGUGUAGCGGUGAAAUGCGUAGAGAUCUGGAGGAAUACCGGUGGCGAAGGCGGCCCCCUGGACGAAGACUGACGCUCAGGUGCGAAAGCGUGGGGAGCAAACAGGAUUAGAUACCCUGGUAGUCCACGCCGUAAACGAUGUCGACUUGGAGGUUGUGCCCUUGAGGCGUGGCUUCCGGAGCUAACGCGUUAAGUCGACCGCCUGGGGAGUACGGCCGCAAGGUUAAAACUCAAAUGAAUUGACGGGGGCCCGCACAAGCGGUGGAGCAUGUGGUUUAAUUCGAUGCAACGCGAAGAACCUUACCUGGUCUUGACAUCCACAGAACCUUGUAGAGAUACGAGGGUGCCUUCGGGAACUGUGAGACAGGUGCUGCAUGGCUGUCGUCAGCUCGUGUUGUGAAAUGUUGGGUUAAGUCCCGCAACGAGCGCAACCCUUAUCCUUUGUUGCCAGCGGUCCGGCCGGGAACUCAAAGGAGACUGCCAGUGAUAAACUGGAGGAAGGUGGGGAUGACGUCAAGUCAUCAUGGCCCUUACGACCAGGGCUACACACGUGCUACAAUGGCGCAUACAAAGAGAAGCGACCUCGCGAGAGCAAGCGGACCUCAUAAAGUGCGUCGUAGUCCGGAUUGGAGUCUGCAACUCGACUCCAUGAAGUCGGAAUCGCUAGUAAUCGUGGAUCAGAAUGCCACGGUGAAUACGUUCCCGGGCCUUGUACACACCGCCCGUCACACCAUGGGAGUGGGUUGCAAAAGAAGUAGGUAGCUUAACCUUCGGGAGGGCGCUUACCACUUUGUGAUUCAUGACUGGGGUGAAGUC
rnacentral:rRNA from 1 species